AUUGAACGCUGGCGGCAGGCCUAACACAUGCAAGUCGAGCGAGCGGCGGACGGGUGAGUAAUGUAUGGGGAUCUGCCCGAUAGAGGGGGAUAACUACUGGAAACGGUGACUACUACCGAAUACUAUAGGAUGAACCCAGAUUGGAUUAGCUAGUAGGGGGGGUAAAGGCUCACCAAGGCGACGAUCUCUAGCUGGUCUGAGAGGAUGAUCAGCCACACUGGGACUGAGACACGGUCCAGACUCCUAAGGGAGGCAGCAGUGGGGAAUAUUGCACAAUGGGCGCAAGCCUGAUACAGCCAUGCCGCGUGUAUGAAGAAGGCCUUAGGGUUGUAUAGUACUUUCAGCGGGGAGGCGUUACCCGCAGAAGAAGCACCGGCUAACUCCGUGCCAGCCGCCGCGGUAAUUC
rnacentral:rRNA from 1 species